UGUAUAGAUAAAAACAUAAGAAUUCAACCUUAAUAUUGAGAUACUAUUAGUAUACAAAGUUUUCAGGACCCUGGAUUCAGCAAAUAUUCAGCGUUUUUAAUGUAUGACAUUGAACUUAUGUCUACCAUGUCAGAUAUCCUGGCAUUUGAUGGGUAUAUGAAUAGUCUAUUUCAAUGCCCCUGCCUCAAAGAUUAGACUGACACUGGGAAAAAGCAGAUGAUGGAGUGUCAGGAAAAUCAUAUAUAAUUAAUAAGAAUUGAUGAAGAAAAUAAUUUCCUAAGGAACAAGUAAAAAAGCAAACAAUCGAGGGUACAGGCGCGGUGCAGGGCUACUUCGAGUCCAGGUGGGCAUCGGGGCCAGGUGAGUGGCCCCAUAACGUGGAAGGGAUGAUCGAGUUCUUCUAGAAGAUGUCCUGGAAACCUAAGUUGCUGGAGCUCGAAGUGACUUGAUGGCACUUCAGAACCAUCGGGCUGUUUCAUGGAACUUCCACUGAAGCGACUCCUUCAGAUUUUGAAUAAGGAACCCAGCUAUGCCUAUUGUCUGACAUCUGAAUAGAAUGAACCUCAGCCAUUGUAGCCAGCUAGAGGAAAACACAUCUGCUAAUCAGUGCUUCUGGACACUAGAUCAGGCCAGACUGGGCUUCGAAAGUCCCAGUCUCAAAUAAAUGUGAUUUUAUAUAUA
rnacentral:sRNA from 1 species